rnacentral:rRNA from 1 species
AAUGAACGCUGGCGGCGUGCCUAACACAUGCAAGUCGAACGAAGGCCCGAUUUCGGUUGGGUCCUUAGUGGCGCACGGGUGCGUAACGCGUGGGAAUCUGCCCCUCGGUUCGGAAUAACAGUUAGAAAUGACUGCUAAUACCGGAUGAUGACGUAAGUCCAAAGAUUUAUCGCCGAGGGAUGAGCCCGCGUAGGAUUAGCUAGUUGGUGUGGUAAGAGCGCACCAAGGCGACGAUCCUUAGCUGGUCUGAGAGGAUGAUCAGCCACACUGGGACUGAGACACGGCCCAGACUCCUACGGGAGGCAGCAGUGGGGAAUAUUGGACAGUGGGCGAAAGCCUGAUCCAGCAAUGCCGCGUGAGUGAUGAAGGCCUUAGGGUUGUAAAGCUCUUUUACCCGGGAUGAUAAUGACAGUACCGGGAGAAUAAGCUCCGGCUAACUCCGUGCCAGCAGCCGCCGUAA